rnacentral:rRNA from 1 species
GACGAACGCUGGCGGCGUGCUUAACACAUGCAAGUCGAGCGGAAAGGCCCUUCGGGGUACUCGAGCGGCGAACGGGUGAGUAACACGUGAGUAAUCUGCCCCUAGCUCUGGGAUAGCUCCGGGAAACCGGGAUUAAUACCGGAUACGACCACCUUAGACAUCUUUUGUGGUGGAAAGAAUUUCGGCUAGGGAUGAGCUCGCGGCCUAUCAGCUUGUUGGUGGGGUAACGGCCUACCAAGGCGACGACGGGUAGCCGGCCUGAGAGGGCGACCGGCCACACUGGGACUGAGACACGGCCCAGACUCCUACGGGAGGCAGCAGUGGGGAAUAUUGCGCAAUGGGCGAAAGCCUGACGCAGCGACGCCGCGUGGGGGAUGAAGGCYYUCGGGUUGUAAACCCCUUUCAGCAGGGA